rnacentral:rRNA from 2 species
ACAUUCGGCCAUACCAGGACGACAAAUACCCCAUCCCAUCUCGAACUGGGCAGUUAAGUCUCCUCGGGCGCGCUUAGUACUGAGGUCAGGGAUGACUCGGGAAUCGCGCGUGCUGAAUGUU